AUUGAACGCUGGCGGCAGGCCUAACACAUGCACGUCGAGCGAGCGGCGGACGGGUGAGUAAUGUAUGGGGAUCUGCCUGAUGGCGGGGGAUAACUACUGGAACCGGUAGCUAAUACCGCAUACUAUCCGAUGAACCCAUAUGGGAUUAGCUUGUAGGUGGGGUAACGGCUCACCUAGGCGACGAUCCCUAGCUGGUCUGAGAGGAUGAUCAGCCACACUGGGACUGAGACACGGCCCAGACUCCUACGGGAGGCAGCAGUGGGGAAUAUUGCACAAUGGGCGCAAGCCUGAUGCAGCCAUGCCGCGGGUAUGAAGAAGGCCUUAGGGUUGUAAAGUACUUUCAGUCGGGAGGCGUUACCGACAGAAGAAGCACCGGCUAACUCCGUGCCAGCCGCCGCGGUAAUUC
rnacentral:rRNA from 1 species